CGCCAUGUGAGAUGUACCUUUCACUUUCCUCCAUGAUUGUGAGGCCUCCUUAGCCACAUGGAACUGAAAUGCUGGAGUCCUUCAUCCGAAUGGUAAAUGGCACUUGUGACAAAAAUCAAAGUAACUAAAAAAGAAUCUGGUUGAAACCUCAGUAACAGUUGGCCUGUCUACUGCCUCACACUAACAAGGGGGAGCUAAUAAAACCGAGGUUAGAACACACAAUGUGGAAAUGAAAACCUUAUUCUUGUCAAUGGAUGGAGGUGACCCCCACCUUUACAAGUGUCUGUAAUUCUCACUAGCAGUAUAUUAGAGGGCAAAAGAUUUGAACAGACACAUCAGAAAAGAAGACAUACAAAUGGCCGCUAAGCACUUGAAAGGAUUCUGAACACCAUUAGUCAUCAGUGAAAUGCAAAUUAAAGCCAUAAUGAAUGGCGCUAUACAUUUUCAGAAUGGCAAGGAUUGAAGACCGAAAAAAAUCAAGCGUUGAGGAGAGUGACAAAUGGGGAGACAGCCGUGGUGCAUGAUCGCCGAAUAAAUACCAUGUGAGGAUACAGCAAGAAGGUGGCCAUCUACAAGCCAAGGAGACAGGCCUCAGAAGAAACCAACCCUUCUUACACCCUGGACUCAGACUUCUAAUCUCCAGAACUUGUUAAUGCACAAGGUCUUGUGUUGAAAAUGUAGAGCCACGAGAUAAAAGCAGCUUGGAUGGCUGACUCAUAUACAAGGACAACUGCCUGAGAGUCACCAGGGCUAUCAAGAAGUUUGCAGAAACAAGAAAUAAACUUUUACUGUUUUAAACUUUUGUGAAUUUUGGGUUUUGUUUAUCACCAAAUAAACCUAGUCUAUUCUGAUUGUUAUAAGUGGUUAAUUUGGGAAGUCAGAUAUAUUUAAAAUUGGCUUACUGCUGUAACAUAUACAGUCCAAAUUACAUAAUGGCUCAAAUGCAAUAGAAGUCUUUUUUUUUUUUGCUCACAUAUCACUUCACUGAGAUUCUGCAUUAAUUGUAAUGAUGAGGGUGAGGGUGUCU
rnacentral:lncRNA from 10 species